CUUCUCGACAUCAUCAAUGUCAUUAACAAGUGAAGCUUUUGGAUCAUCCAAUGAGAUUGCAACAAUUUUCCAAUCCAGUUCUCCUUCAUCAAUCAUAGCUAGACAACCUAAAGGUUUGACUUUCAUAAGUUGACCAAUGUUCCCACGAGUUUGACCAAUUUCAACCACAUCAACUACAAUAUCAAAAUUAAAAGAAUUUGGUGUAUUAGAUUGAAUUUAACAAAAUCCUUCAUACAUACACAAUCAUUUAAUACAAAUUUGGUAAAAAUGGGAUUCUUAAAGUUACCUGGAUCAUUGUCUCCAAAUGCUCCAUCAACAUCAGGAUUUGCAAAUGAUGGAUCUUCCCAUGUUUGUGGAAGCAAUCCAUAAUUCCAGUUAAUAUUGUACCUGAGAAUCAAAGGUAUAUUAUAUGAGUGUUUCUUUUUGACUUGAUACAAAAAGAACAACUUAAUAGAAAAAGCAAAACUACUUACGGGUAGUAUCUAAGUUUCCCUUUUUUUGUAUCUUGCUUAAUGGGUGUGAAGAUUUCAUCAGUAGCAACCUCCAUUUUUGCACUUGAUUCUUUUGGAAUUUCAACAAUAAAAUUGAAUGUUCCAUCACCAACAUGCAAUGGUAUAUCAUGCCAUGGUGAAAUCUGAAACAAUAAAUCACAUUAUUAUAUCCCAAUUCCAUCAACACGUAUUCACAAUUAAACCCUAAAUCAAUAAUUACCAUACUGCAUACACAUUCGAACCUAAUAUCAUCACCAAUCAUACAUUUUUCAAACAUCUAAAGCAAUGUAUCGAAAUCGAAUAAGAUAAUCGAAACCCUAGAACGUUAAUCAGCGAAAGCACAGAAAUCGGAACGAGAGAUGAAUAUUGACCUUUUUGCCGGAAUUAUCGACGAAGAAAACUCUGUAAUCUAGGGUUUCGGGCGUUCCUUCCUCCUUGAUCUGGAAAUCAGGCCUGUAAAGAGCCGAACAAGUGAAACUCCUCUUCUUCGAAACUAAUUUGGUGGUGUUAUUGAAGCAAAGGCUGAAAUGGCGAGGUUUGAAGAAUGGGGAGGCGGCGGCUUUGAAGAGUAGUGAAGAUGAUGUGCCGAUGUUGGUUGUUGACACCAUGAGUCUGGUGGCAGCCAUUGAUGGAUGGGUAGAGAAGGAGGUUUUGGGUUCCG
rnacentral:lncRNA from 1 species